rnacentral:tRNA from 1 species
ACCACUAUAGUUUAUUUAAAACAUUACAUUUUCAUUGUAAAAAUAAAAUUUUUAAUUUUUAGUAGUA